AAUCUUCCACAAUGGACGAAAGUCUGAUGGAGCAACGCCGCGUGAGCGAAGAAGGUUUUCGGAUCGUAAAGCUCUGUUGCGAGGGAAGAACAGGUACGGGAGUAACUGCCCGUACCUUGACGGUCUCUCGUCAGAAAGCCACGGCUAACUACGUGCCAGCAGCCGCGGUAAUACGGAGGUGGCAAGCGUUGUCCGGAAUUAUUGGGCGCAAAGCGCGGGCAGGCGGUCCUUUAAGACUGGUGUGAAAGCCCACGGCUCAACCGUGGAGGGUCAUUGGAAACUGGAGGACUUGAGUACAGAAGAGGAAAGCGGAAUUCCACGUGUAGCGGUGAAAUGCGUAGAGAUGUGGAGGAACACCAGUGGCGAAGGCGGCUUUCUGGUCUGUAACUGACGCUGAGGCGCGAAAGCGUGGGGAGCAAACA
rnacentral:rRNA from 1 species